AUCUAGCUGACGAAUCCCAAAUAAGGUAAAACGCGCGUCCCAGAU
rfam:Schistosoma mattheei strain Denwood, Zambia genome assembly, scaffold: SMTD_scaffold0003704